GAUGAACGCUAGCUACAGGCUUAACACAUGCAAGUCGAGGGGUAACGAGAGGAAAGCUUGCUUUCCUUGUCGACGACCGGCGCACGGGUGAGUAACGCGUAUCCAACCUGCCCCCAACUAGGGAAUAACCUUUCGAAAGUAAGACUAAUACCCUAUAAUUUCCUCAGAUGUCAUCUGACGAGGAAUAAAGAUUUAUCGGUUGUGGAUGGGGAUGCGUCUGAUUAGCUUGUUGGCGGGGUAACGGCCCACCAAGGCAACGAUCAGUAGGGGUUCUGAGAGGAAGGUCCCCCACAUUGGAACUGAGACACGGUCCAAACCCCUACGGGAGGCAGCAGUGAGGAAUAUUGGUCAAUGGGCGGAAGCCUGAACCAGCCAAGUAGCGUGCAGGAUGACGGCCCUAUGGGUUGUAAACUGCUUUUAUACAGGAAUAAAGUUAGCCACGUGUGGUUAUUUGUAGGUACUGUAUGAAUAAGGACCGGCUAAUUCCGUGCCAGCCGCCGCCGUAACAC
rnacentral:rRNA from 1 species